GCGCGAUUAGCUCAGUGGUAGAGCACUACCUCGACACGGUAGGGGUCACUGGUUCAAUCCCAGUAUCGCGCACCA
rnacentral:tRNA from 1 species